rnacentral:lncRNA from 1 species
GGAAUUUGAGCAGUUUAACAGGAGGCUAAAUGAAGUUUCUAAGAGAGUUCGCAUACCCUUGCCUGUGUCUAAUAUACUUUGGGAACAUUGUAUACGAUUGGCUAAUCGAACUAUUGUAGAAGGAUACGCCAAUGUCAAGAAAUGCAGUAAUGAGGGUCGUGCCCUGAUGCAAUUGGAUUUUCAACAGUUUUUAAUGAAACUUGAAAAACUAACAGAUAUUAGACCCAUUCCUGAUAAAGAAUUUGUAGAAACUUAUAUUAAAGCUUAUUACCUAACUGAGAAUGACAUGGAACGCUGGA